GGAUGCGAUCAUACCAGCACUAAAGCACCGGAUCCCAUCAGAACUCCGAAGUUAAUCGUGCUUGGGCGAGAGUAGUACUAGGAUGGGUAACCUCCUGGGAAGUCCUCGUGUUGCAUCCC
rnacentral:rRNA from 1 species